rnacentral:lncRNA from 10 species
CGAACAUGUAAUCUGACAAACAAACAAACAAAAAUGGGCUACAAAAAAGAGAGAGCUGCUUUUUAAGCCUGUAUGUGUCAUUUACCUGUGACGAACAGCAGUAAGCGCGAUGGUAGGCCCGACUCUCUCCAUUGCUCAUUCUGUCUCUGCUCUUUCCAUUAUCUUAUUUCUGUGAACAAUUGCUUAGCACUCGAACAGAAUAGCCCAGCGAUAAAACGCUGAGUGACGAUUGGGUGGCAGCCACCUCUGAGUGCGGUCCAGCCCUGUGCCAUUGGAGGCGAAUCUUCAGGUUGCUGGAUUUGAAACUUACACAAACACUCACUGUAUUAUUGCAGAAGAGAGAGAGAAUGGAGAGAGAAAGGAAGAGGAAGAGGACAAGAAGAGGAAAGAGAGGAGGAAAGGAAGAGAGAACUGCUCUUGACUAGGCCCUGGAUGACUCCAGCCAAAGCUCCGGAAAUUAUCCCUGUCUCAAGAAGUAUCUACUCCAAGAAGAAAACAAGAAGAGACCCAAAUUGUGUGAGACAUAAAUACAAGGCAGAGCUCACUCAGGCAGGACCUGGCCCAGCUCAGGCAUUUGGAAACAAUUUGUGCCGAAGACAGAAAGUACACCUAACGUUAAGCUGAAAAAACUGGACGCUCCCAGCAAACUCACUUUGCAGACUCCUGGUUGUCAGAAGAAAACGCCAGAGGAUUUCACUUGGCAUUGACCUCUUACUACUUCCAGCCACUUACCCUGGGCAGUAGAAAGAAGGAACAGAAAGCAGAGUAGAUUAAGAGGAGCAAGUACAAAUGGCGUGGGACUUCAAAUCACCACCUAAGAUUACUUCUUUGAUUUCUGAAAAAGUAGGUCAAAGGAAGAUGUCAGAGCAUGGGAAAAGCUGAGGAUCAGAGAAGUGAAGA